rnacentral:tRNA from 1 species
GCCCCCGUAGCUCAGUGGAUAGAGCGUCGGUUUCCUAAACCGUGUGCACAAGUUCGAUUCUUGUCGGGGGCA